CAAAAGAAGUGUUUCUGUUGUUGAUGUUAAAGGCACCUUUUGUACUGUUGAGGUACAGUUUUGCUCAUGCUCUCCAGAGUUUGUUCAACUUCUGCAAUUUGGCCUUUGGGGUGGAACACCUACAAAACCAAAA